rnacentral:rRNA from 1 species
AAAACUUUCAACAACGGAUCUCUUGGUUCUGGCAUCGAUGAAGAACGCAGCGAAAUGCGAUAAGUAAUGUGAAUUGCAGAAUUCAGUGAAUCGUCGAAUCUUUGAACGCACAUUGCGCCCCGUGGUAUUCCGCGGGGCAUGCCUGUUCGAGCGUCAUUU